GACGAACGCUGGCGGCGUGCUUAACACAUGCAAGUCGAACGGAAAGGCCCUGCUUUUGUGGGGUGCUCGAGUGGCGAACGGGUGAGUAACACGUGAGUAACCUGCCCUUGACUUUGGGAUAACUUCAGGAAACUGGGGCUAAUACCGGAUAGGAGCUCCUGCUGCACGGUGGGGGUUGGAAAGUUUCGGCGGUUGGGGAUGGACUCGCGGGUUAUCAGCUUGUUGGUGGGGUAGUGGCUUACCAAGGCUUGGACGGGUAGCCGGCCUGAGAGGGUGACCGGCCACAUUGGGACUGAGAUGCGGCCCAGGCUCCUACGGGAGGCAGCAGUGGGGAAUAUUGCACAAUGGGCGGAGGCCUGAUGCAGCAACGCCGCGUGCGGUAUGACGGCCUUCGGGUUGUAAACCGCUUGCGCCUGUGACGAAGCGUGAGUGACGGUAAUGGGUAAAGAAGCACCGGCUAACUACGUG
rnacentral:rRNA from 1 species